CUUUGUGCUCCUGUCUGCCUGGUGUAUACCUAUGGAUUACUGAAAGAAGAUCGUUCCAUGUAUUUCUGGUUUCCUCGCUCUCUGUCUUUACACGUAGUGUGACAGAGACGAUAGUGAUGUUUCCAGCUUGCCAAAACACUGUUGUCUUGUAAAUGAAGACCAAAGAGUUGACACGGGACCCAACCAAGAGCGGAGACACAUCAAGAGCAAAGAGAAGUUUUCUAGAGAAAGAACCUCCUGUAUGCUGGUGUUCCCAGUUACGCAGCGAUCAUCCACCAAAAUAUUUUCUGACCCCUUGAUGUGGCGGAUCUCCAGAUCAUAUGUUUGUAAAAAUAAAUAACCACCAGCGCAUCAACUGUUGGUGGUUAUGAUCAGAAUAACUCACAACAGAUGUUCGACCCCUUCCCACAUAAACGCUGAAAUGCUGAAGUGCCCAAA